UCCUAACGAUGGAUGUGAUGAUGACAGAAGAGAGAGAGCACAGCCCAACAUUGGCGAAAGAAUGGCGUUCGCUCUUGCUGGGAGUGUGCUCUCUCCUCUCUCUGUCAUUACCGUCUUUAGGGU
rnacentral:miRNA from 15 species